AUUAAAACACCUGUUCUCGUACAAUCACCGAAGUUCAGCAAUGUCAAGCUUGGUCAGUACCUAGAUGAGUGACCACUUGGGAAUAUCAGAUGCUGUGA